CUCCUAUAUAAUGGCUCUUUCAUUCACAGUUUUCUCUUUAAUUCAUAAAUAAUCUAUCAUUUUCUCUUCAUUAACAGAAGCUUUUUAAGAUGCAAAUCUUUGUUAAAACUCUCAUUGGAAAGACCAUUACUCUGGAUGUGAAGAGUUCCAACACCAUUGACAAUGUUAAAGCAAAGAUUGAAGACAAAGAAGGAAUUCCCUCAGAUCAACAAAGAUUAGUAUAUGGUGGAAAACAAUUUAAGGAUGAUUAUACACUUGCUGAUUACAAUAUUCAAAAGGAGUCUACAAUUCAUCUUGUCUUGAGUCUUUGUGGAGGUUAUAGGGAAGAUGAAGUUUAUCCUAUCAUUAUUAGGACAUAUAAGGGCGAGAAAUUUAUCUUAGAGGUCAGGACUAGCUUUAAAAUUGAAAAUAUUAUAAAAUCGGUCCAAGAAAAAGGAGAUUAUAAAGAUAGGUUACAUAUGUUGUUAGAUGGUAAAUAUCUACAAUAUGACAAAAGUCUUUCGCAGUAUCAUAUCAGAAAAAAUUGGACACUCCAUCUUAUACGACGAUAGAAAGUAAAUUAUAAAUCCUUAAUUCAUGAAGAAUAUUUUUGUUUUAGAGAAUUCUUAUACUAUUAAUAAUGUAAUACAAAGAUUAAGAAUAUAAAGUAUUGUGUCACUCCUCUAUCAA